ensembl:lncRNA
CUCCAUCACCUUAAGUUCACUCACCCUCACUGCAUGACGCAUUUGGUUGCUCCACUGUGACAUAAGAGCUUCAAGCAUUCCUCAGUCUAAUGAGAUUGUAGCUAUGUGUCCUUGUUUUCUCUGGGAGAUACUUGUGGCACAGUCUGUGGGACCAGCAGCCCUCUGAAGAUCUGGAUCUUCCUGGAUCCUAUCUCUGAGUGCAUACCAGGCCAGUGAGAGCUCUCUUCACUUCUCACCAUAGCAGCUUCAAUAUGUAUUUUCCCCAGCUCAUCUUUCCAAGAACACAUGGUGUAUGAGUUUUGUAUCAUUUCCAGUACAGAAUAACUUUGCCAUACAUAGGAAGAUACGUUAGCAGAUCUAGGAAAAAAAGAUAAACAAUCAUAUGUAGUCUGCUUCAGUUUUUUCAUGUGGUAAACGUAGGAAGAUUCCUUUAAGUAAUUAAUCCAAUAACUAAAAACUUUUCCCUUUUUGUCCCCUAUGGCUGCCUUCCCCAUAUUCUUACAUGGUUGGGUGGGAGGCACUCUCAAUCCUCUAUGUCACAGUAGGUGUCUAUUACUGAGUUAUGGUUAGAGUUUGGGUGUGAUGGAUGGGCUUGCAAGGGAAGGAGCCUGCUGGUGGCAUUCACCACUGUGAAGACUGGUCAUUAUCAAAGUGAACAAUAUCAAUUCAGUUAAACCAGUCACAAAUGUUUCAUCUGAACUGCAGUUCAUGUUACUUAAAUGCUAACAGUGCAUUUAAUCUCACUAUGAAUAGAGAAACAGCAGAGGAGACAACAACAUGAAGUUUGCAGUUUGUCCCAGGAUGCAUGGAGAGACCAAUCAGGAUCAAGCAGAAUUCAAGAAAUAGAGACUGAUUGACACUUUUUGCCAAAUCACUGCAAGAGUAAAAUAAAGAGAAGAUGUGAGUGAACAGUGUCAACGAGAAUACAUGAAGCAGAAAAACUCAUGGAGGAACAGGAUGACUCAUGGACAGCAUAGCUGGAAGCAAAAAGCUUGUAAGACACAUGAAAAAAAUGUCAAUUGUGAAGAAUGUCAACAAAUUGCAUCAUACAGCAUUUUGUGAACCAACACUUCACACGCAUAAACGAUCUCCACUGAAUUCUACUCUGAUGAAGUUUUUGGUCUGGUCUCCCUUCUUGCAAAAGGACCAGUUCUCUUCUGUACAGACACUUUGCAAAUACAACUCUUUAGCUGUUUCUAGGAGAUACUGCAGUAUCUCUUAAAAACUGUUUUGUUUUAUUAAGAACUCAAAGUGUCACAUUUCCAUACCACUGCAAUUACCAGGUAACAGUGUUUUUACUUCCAAAAUGCCAUUUCCAAGUUUAUCAUCUCUCCGUGACUUGUAAUUCUUCUGGAUAAACAUGUUUGAGAUCUGUGAUGGUCUCCCUGGUGAUGGUUACCAUAGUGCUUCACAGGAUUUUAUUUCUGCUCAUUCCUCAAAAGCAGGACUGUGGUUCUCUGUGGGAGGCCCAGAGUUGCACCAGUCUCAGAUUUUAUUGCCUUUGCCAUUCUGCCCCCACUAAGGAGUAAACCACCCAGACAUGCCACUGUCAUCUUUACUGUAUUCCAUCAACUCUGCUUAAAAUAAAUGUUACAAAUCAAUCUCCUCCUUUUCUCA